UAGGGAAUAUUGCGCAAUGGGCGAAAGCCUGACGCAGCAACGCCGCGUGAAGGAUGAAGGCCUUCGGGUCGUAAACUUCUGUCAGAUGGGAAGAAGGUUUGUAGGUUAAGAGCUAGUGAACUUGACGGUACCAUCAGAGGAAGUCCCGGCUAACUCCGUGCCAGCAGCCGCGGUAAUACGGAGGGGCACAAGCGUUAUUCGGAUUUAUUGGGCGUAAAGGGCGCGUAGGCGGCUUGAUAAGUCAAAGGUGAAAUCCCUCGGCUCAACCGGGGAACUGCCUUUGAAACUGUCUGGCUAGAGUUCGGGAGAGGGUAGGGGAAUUCCUAGUGUAGCGGUGAAAUGCGUAGAUAUUAGGAGGAACACCAGUGGCGAAGGCGCCUACCUGGACCGAUACUGACGCUGAGGUGCG
rnacentral:rRNA from 1 species